AAGGUUGAUUUAUUGAUAAGAAAAGGUAAAAGACUCUAGGUGAAGUAAGCUAAAGAAGCAGAAAAAGUCUACUAAAGGUUUUGGGAUUUGUAAAGAAAAGAAAGAGUUCUUGUUAGCUAUUGAAGAUGGGCAAAAGCCCUUGGUUUUAAAAUGUUAAAAACAGGAACCUUAGUUGUUAAAGAAAUCCAAAUCCGCUAGAUGUAUCAAAGUGUUGAGAAAGCUUCUCCUAGAGUUAAGAGAAAAGAAAAGAAUGAUUAGAAAAAGGGCUUAAAAGAUUCAUGAAUGCAAAGGGUAGAGUUUAGUUCUUGUAUUGGGAUUGGAGAUGGGAUUACCAUUAGAGCUUCAUUUGAUGUACUCUGGGUAGAUGGGAUCUUAUCUCUGUAUGCAUAGCUUGGGACUUACCUUUAGCAUUCUACUAAAGCUUAAUCAUUUUUUGAGAGAUCCCCUGUUAUUGAAGCCUAUUCUGUAAGGGACCAUCUUUGUCUCUUGACCUUUUACCUUAGCCAAAUGAGUUCUUUGAUGAUGCAUUGCUUGAUUCACGUUCCAGAACUAAUGAAUGUUAAAGGGAUUGGUAGAUUUGAAAACUUGUGUAGGUCGAGCAUAUGAGUCGGAUUGAUUGAUUGAUGAGGCAUAACUAACUUUUUUAAGUAGAAUUCGAUCUUGCAGCUUAGAACUUUCAACUUGGACAUUGAUUUCAUCUGGUCUAUCUGGUGCUUUGGCUCUGAGUCCCCGCUUUCAAACCUCACCUCCAGCUUGUUCUUGAUUGUUUGCUUGAGGCAAGCAAAGACUAAGUUUGGGGGAGUUGAUAAGUU
rnacentral:sRNA from 1 species